GGUCAUUUAGAGGAAGUAAAAGUCGUAACAAGGUCUCCGUUGGUGAACCAGCGGAGGGAUCAUUACCGAGUUUACAACUCCCAAACCCCUGUGAACAUACCUUACUGUUGCCUCGGCGGAUCAGCCCGCUCCCGGUAAAACGGGACGGCCCGCCAGAGGACCCCUAAACUCUGUUUCUAUAUGUAACUUCUGAGUAAAACCAUAAAUAAAUCAAAACUUUCAACAACGGAUCUCUUGGUUCUGGCAUCGAUGAAGAACGCAGCAAAAUGCGAUAAGUAAUGUGAAUUGCAGAAUUCAGUGAAUCAUCGAAUCUUUGAACGCACAUUGCGCCCGCCAGUAUUCUGGCGGGCAUGCCUGUUCGAGCGUCAUUUCAACCCUCAAGCCCUCGGGUUUGGUGUUGGGGAUCGGCGAGCCUUUCUGGCAAGCCGGCCCCGAAAUCUAGUGGCGGUCUCGCUGCAGCCUCCAUUGCGUAGUAGUAAAACCCUCGCAACUGGAACGCGGCGCGGCCAAGCCGUUAAACCCCCAACUUCUGAAUGUUGACCUCGGAUCAGGUAGGAAUACCCGCUGAACUUAAGCAUAUCAAUAAGCGGAGGA
rnacentral:rRNA from 2 species